CAGGGAGACAACAAAAUGUAAAUAUUAAUUUUGUCACCUUAGGUCGAUCGGUAUCUCAGAUUUUUAAUUUUUAAAAAUUUCGGUUUCUAAGUUUUUUCUAGGUCACACCCAUUACUUUUUCCUGGGCCAUUAGCUCAGGUGGUUAGAGCGCACCCCUGAUAAGGGUGAGGUCCCUGGUUCAAGUCCAGGAUGGCCCAUCUCUCUAUGUUGGGGGUAUAGCUCAGUUGGUAGAGCGCCUGCUUUGCAAGCAGGAUGUCAGCGGUUCGAGUCCGCUUACCUCCACUGAGUACCACCUCUUAACAUAUAGUUAAUAAGGAAAAUUUGUUUUGAAUCAUGUCCUUUUACAACUCUGAACGAAUCUAGCUUCCUAUUUUUUAUUUGUCUUAAAUAAGAUGCUGGACUCAUUGAAUUUUAUUCAUUGUUUUCAGAGAACCUUGACAACUGCAUAGAUUAUUUUAUAGACAAUGAGCAUCUUUAAUGAUGCGGAUUUUUUAUUUGUGCUAAUGCAUUAAAUAACAAUUCUAUUAAGCUGAUGCUUCAAUUAUUGAAGUUAUU
rnacentral:tRNA from 1 species